GUUUUCCAGUGUAGCUAGCUUUCUUAAACCAGCUCCUCGCGAAUGGCAUUCAUGACUGUGGGUGUGAUGCCCUGGACAGUCCCUGGUUCUACAGAAUCUCUGAGGAGCCUUUAGGUGAUGGUAUAUGUGGCCAGCUAACUGGCUCUCAUCUGGCUUCGACUGUGCAGCCAGAAAAAAAAAAGUGACUGCUCAUUAAGGCAUUACUCCAAAAUGGUGAUUACUAACCCCCCAAAUCAAUGCCACAUCCGGGAGCCUGAGUCUCGGGUUGACUGGCGUCAUCUAGGCAUGUCCUUCAUAAUUGUCAUGUACAGUGCUUGAGCAUC